rnacentral:rRNA from 1 species
CCUACGGGAGGCAGCAGUGGGGAAUAUUGGACAAUGGGCGAAAGCCUGAUCCAGCAAUGCCGCGUGAGUGAUGAAGGCCUUAGGGUUGUAAAGCUCUUUUACCAGGGAUGAUAAUGACAGUACCUGGAGAAUAAGCUCCGGCUAACUCCGUGCCAGCAGCCGCGGUAAUACGGAGGGAGCUAGCGUUGUUCGGAAUUACUGGGCGUAAAGCGUACGUAGGCGGUUAUUCAAGUCAGAGGUGAAAGCCUGGAGCUCAACUCCAGAACUGCCUUUGAAACUAGAUAGCUAGAAUCUUGGAGAGGUGAGUGGAAUUCCGAGUGUAGAGGUGAAAUUCGUAGAUAUUCGGAAGAACACCAGUGGCGAAGGCGACUCACUGGACAAGUAUUGACGCUGAGGUACGAAAGCGUGGGGAGCAAACAGGAUUAGAUACCCUGGUAGUCCACGCCGUAAACGAUGAUAACUAGCUGUUCGGGCUCUACGAGCUUGAGUGGCGCAGCUAACGCAUUAAGUAUCCGCCUGGGGAUACGGUCGCAAGNUUAAAACUCAAAGGAAUUGAACGGCUGAGACNGCGAGACGACGACGAGGAGAG